rnacentral:lncRNA from 1 species
UCAUGGCCUCUGCAUGUUUGUACAUCCGCUUGCCUUUUCUGGUGUCCAGCCUUAAUUCUAGCCUCUACUUCUGUCCCCACCCCCUUUCCUCAUUUCAAUCCAAAUUCAAUCAUCUGAGCAUACCGCACCACCUAGCUUUCUUCAGCCUUGCCAUGUUCUUCAUGGCCUCUGCAUGUUUGUACAUCCCCUUGCCUUUUCUGGGUUGAUCUUCCAAUUUCUCACUUCUGACCCUUCUUCCCCUUUCUAACUUUUUUCCACCCUU